ensembl:lncRNA
ACAGGAUUGAGUCUAAGUCAGCUCUUUCAACCUUCGCAUGACGCACCUCCAUUUUGUAGCAUAGGUGAAAACAAACGAACGGCCACAAUGUUGCUUCGAUGUGAGCUAUAAGGAAGAGGAUUAUAUUGUUGCUGUUGUUACCUGGGUUUCAGGUGCUGACAGAACAAGCAGACCAGGUAGGAUGUCCUGUUGAGGUCCAGCAACAGGCUGCUGAGGGUAAGAGGAAUCUGUCGUGUUUACUCCACUGAGUGGCCGACGUAUAGUGGUGGGUUUCACAGCUGCUGACAUCGGAAGAGAAUCCAAUGAGCUCUGGAAGUUGUUCGUAAAAAGCAAAUAAGUUAAACUUCAAAGAAUACAUUAGUAGGAAGACCACCCUAUCCUGACUAGUCUCCCUGCCCUCGCAUCUGUCUAACAUCUCCCUCAGUGUCUCUCUCCGCCAGCUGCUUUUUAAAUCAAGGUAUUGUCAGACUUUAUCCUUUAUUCUUCACAACAAUGUUAACACAUAGCCCCCUCCCAGACAAAUAGUCGGCAAUCAGAGACAAAACUACAGUCUCCGCAGAACGGCUUGCUCACUGGCAACAGUGAAUAUAGCCAUGCUUGACAACCAGGUCCAACAAGGAUAACAGCAUAAAGCAUGUCUUCCUUACCCAGGAUGGAGGUGAAAAGGGAGGAGAAGGUGUGGGAGGACAGGGAGAAUACUGGGGCAACCCAAGCCAAACCAGAACAGCAUGGUGUCGCUGGACCACAGGCUGCAAGGGAUGGGAGUGUGGGAGAGGUAGUACUGACCUGGUCAAGUACCCUGCCGGACCUCUUUAGAGCAAUAGACAGUGAACACCCACAGGAACAGUCUACCCCUACGCAGCCAGCCCCUGGUGGGCUCCUGAUCGCCUCAUAGCUCCCAAGCCAGCCGUGUUGUUGUUUUCGCCUUGGCUGUGUGAGGACAGGAAGAGAUAAAGAGAGACCGACUUGCGUGUUUACAGCCAACAAUGCUGAGUUGAAUAGCAGGAGAAGGAGAGGGGAAGAGGACUGAUGGCAGAUCGACCGACCGGCCGGCCGGCCCACUCUGAAAAAUCAACUCGGUGCCAAGUGUACUGUGCAAACAGAAAUGCAGGGUGGAAAAAUAAAGAGAAAGAUCUGAGAAGAACACACAGUUGCAUUGAAAAUGUACUACACAUUACGCAAAAACUGAUUUCAAUAGACAUGUCCUUGUGAGAGCAUGUCUAUAGUGUUAAUGUAUGGAAAUAUACCGAACUACAUGCAAAUUAAUGUCAAUUUAGCAAAUUAACAUACAGAGGAGCACAAAAGGUCAGAAGUUUUUUACAGUACUUAAAGAUUUUUCUACUCAGGUGUUUGAGUUAUUCUUUCCCUGUUCUGGUCACAAUAUGCCCCCAUGCCAUCAAAUACUUUUUUACCAUUAUUUCACCAGAUACGUCUGCUAAGAAUAUAUCCUUUUAUUUUUUUAGAAACAACCCAGGAGCAAUUUGGGUUAAAUGUCUUGCUCAGGGACAGAACGACAGGCCUUUUCACCUUGUCGGCUCAGGGAUUCGAACCAGCGACCUUUCGUUGACUGGCCCCACACACUCUCGAACACUGCCGCACCAAUUCUGACGCAUUUGUCUGUCUGAUUAAUAUUUAUUGUGUUUUUCUGUCCAUCUGUGAUUCUUACAGGAAGUGGGGAACCAUGGGGUCCUGGAUCCUUGGUCUGUGUAUGGUUUUGUGUUUCUGGGGAACAGUUAGCGGGAACAAGCUUCACAGCCACACUGUUGGCCGGUGUACUGUCAAUACUGGCACAGUAAGAAAGACACACUCAGCUUUCUGCUAUCCCUUCUUUCUUCUCUUUGUCUUCAGUUCCAAGCAGUCACGUGAGGAAGACACG